rnacentral:tRNA from 1 species
GUCACGGUGGUCUAGCGGUUAGAACGCUGGCCUUGUAAUCCUGGGGUCUCGGGUUCGAUUCCUGGCGGUGCCC